UUUGUUCCCUAAAUAGGGACUUGUAUGAAUGGCCACACGAGGGCUUUACUGUCUCUUACUUCCAAUCCGUGAAAUUGACCUUCCCGUGAAGAGGCGGGAAUACAACAAUAAGACGAGAAGACCCUAUGGAGCUUUAAUUAAUCGACUCAAAGAGACUCUACUAACUAACCGACAGGAACAACAAACCUCUAUAUGAGCCGACAAUUUAGGUUGGGGUGACCUCGGAGAAUAAAAUAACCUCCGAGUGAUUUAAAUCUAGACUAACCAGUCAAAAGUACUACAUCACUUAUUGAUCCAAAAACUUGAUCAACGGAACAAGUUACCCUAGGGAUAACAGCGCAAUCCUAUUUCAGAGUCCAUAUCGACAAUAGGG
rnacentral:rRNA from 1 species